rnacentral:rRNA from 1 species
UACGGAGGGUGCAAGCGUUGUCCGGAUUUAUUGGGUUUAAAGGGUGCGUAGGCGGUUAUCUAAGUCCGUGGUGAAAGGCAGCAGCUUAACUGUUCGCAUUGCCAUUGAUACUGGAUGACUUGAGUACAGACGAGGUAGGCGGAAUUUAUGGUGUAGCGGUGAAAUGCAUAGAUACCAUAAAGAACACCGAUUGCGAAGGCAGCUUACUAGGCUGUAACUGACGCUGAGGCACGAAAGCGUGGGGAUCGAACAGG